rnacentral:lncRNA from 1 species
AGUCUACUGCGCACAAGGGAGGAAGCCUGUUGCUAGAGGCUAUAGGCUAUCUACUCAGUAAUUACCUUACCAUCAUUUUAAAUGUGACUUUAGUUAACAAAAGUUAUUCCAUGCAGAUCAAGCAUGCUAAAUGAAUACCCUACACAUCAUCCUAAAUGAAUUCGCCUUCAGCAAUGAGCGAAAUGUUUUAAAUAGUUAUUUUCCAGAGUAUAGAAUAAGACAUUUUAUUAUAAAAGUAUCUCCAUAAAAAGUUAACCAUAUUUACAAAACCAAAAAUACAAGUAAAAAGAUAUUGCACACAAUCAUUAUCUUCAGCAUUAGAACAUCAGUAUCGGAUUUCUGGUGAGGUACCUUUUAAAAACCGAACUUCACAAAAAUACUGGCAAUAAAUUGGUCAUGGCAAACCCUACUUUACUCACACUUUCCACACAAACAUUCGCAUAAAGAGAACAUGACAAAUAUGGGAGCACAGAACAACUGGUUUUGACAAAUAAACCCUUGCAGUCGAUCGUCUAUUGACGUAAUAUGUUGAGAUGUCCACGGUCAAAAUAACAACUACAACUAAAACAGGCAAUUCUGCAACCAUUGGGAUAGGCCUACAUAUACAUCACUGGUAAACAACACAAGUGAAAAUGCUUGUGUGUCCCUGUGACACCUUAUUGGAGCCGCAACUCUCAAGUCGAAAAGUUGCAGUGUAUGAAAUGUGUAGAGACAUAACUUAUUUAAUGGUGACGCCUAAAAUGUUAUAAAACUCUAGACAUGAAUAACGACAUUUCUUGAAUUUCCAACACUUUGUCUGUAUUGAUCUAGCCAGUCUCUCAGCUCAGAGAUGCGGUAUCCCUCCGGCCCUCUACCUCCUUGGUAGACAAUCUUUCCGUCUUGAAGUAUGUAAAGUCUAUCGAAAUAUGCUCCAUAUGCGGCGUUGGACGAGUUAUCCAUGCUGUCUGCGACAACAAGGCACCCAGGGACCUCACGGUUCAUUAUUUGAGCGGCACUGAGUCUGUCCUCGAGACAGCGGUGUUUGGGAAUUUGGUAGGGAGCGUCAGAGCUCAUCCAUCCGUCCGACGGGUGCGCUUCCUCUAUGUAAACAACGACAGAGUCUGAGAUAUCAGCGUAUUGCUGCACAACACGCUGGAACGCCUUCAAGCGUGUCAUGAACGGUGGUCAGGUGCAGCUGCCAAAGUUUAGAAUGAGCGGUCGCUUGUCUUUGGCAUAGUCAAGAAUCCGGUUGCAGCUCUGGUCGCGGAGCUGCACAACUUCUGUGUUGGGCGCUACAUAUCCAAGGUGCGCCGAUUUUAAGAAGUCCAGUUUAUGGCCAUGCCAAACGGCUUUGAUUGACUCCCAGCUGAACAUUCGAUUAGACUCGGAAAUACAUACUGGGGGGUCGACAAUAUUUCCUUCUUGUUCCUUCAUUUUGGGGAAGACCCUCUUUCUUACGCAAUGGAAAUCGAGAAACCACAGCAUUAUCGCUGCCAAGAAGAAGCGAGGCAGUAAAAUAAGACAGACAAUUGCAUUUUUCAUAGCCUUGACUGUAUUCAUGCCGACUAAUAAUCGCAGACCGGCUAAUAUCUUUAGGCUAUAGCUUCUAAAACUUCAGACAGACCGCGUUACUCUUGCGCUACGAUCCUUUGCUGAAGUUGCACUCUACUUGUAGCUUCCCUUUUUAUAGCACAGGCAGUGGAUUUGAAUGAAAAACACCCCGCCUCCAAACCGUGGCCGACUCCUCACAUGGCGGGGAUUACCUUCUAUUAAUUUAGGCUACUGAUGAUAGGAGAGGCAGAGAGCGAGAUGUGUGUGUGUGUGAGGAAGAAAACGAGAUGGCUGUGUGCGACAGAGAUUUAAU